rnacentral:rRNA from 1 species
UACGGGGGGAGCAAGCGUUGCUCGGAAUCACUGGGCGUAAAGCGCACGUAGGCGGCUUUUUAAGUCAGGGGUGAAAUCCUGGAGCUCAACUCCAGAACUGCCUUUGAUACUGAGAAGCUUGAGUCCGGGAGAGGUGAGUGGAACUGCGAGUGUAGAGGUGAAAUUCGUAGAUAUUCGCAAGAACACCAGUGGCGAAGGCGGCUCACUGGCCCGGUACUGACGCUGAGGUGCGAAAGCGUGGGGAGCAAACAGG